AGGAAAGCAAGGCAAUCCCCCUGAGCCAGCCCAUGCUGCAGCAGCCACUGUAGGGUCCCUGCGAGCCGGAGCCGCGGCGCUCCCCGUCCUGCCGGGCGCCGCCGGGGAACUUCAGGCAACCUGGGGAGCGGAGCAUUAAUAUCUCCAGGAUAAGCUGCUUGGUGCCAGUUGAAUCCACUUCUGCUUCUUUGGAUCACACUGAUGGGUAUUGCUGUUCACAGCUGUAAAACAGACAAAAUAACAUAGGAAAGAAAUAAUCCUUUGAAAUGUCAUGAAGGUACUCGGAUUUUGCAGACCACUGUGAGUUUCUCGUCUGGAAGGUGUUAUAUAUGACUUACACUGGGAGACAGCUGGCCCAUUCCCAUCUGAACCUGCUACAGAAUAACUUGAAAGUUUUUUUUGGGACUAAACAUUUCAGCAACUGAAGAACAAAUUAACCUUAUACAGUUUGAUCUUUUAUACUAUGUGAUUUUCAAGAGGACAGCAGAACUACACAAGAAUUACAUGGUCUUGCCAGAAACAAAAAAAAGAAUAAAAUAAACGGUAGAAAUACACUGAAAACUCUUGCCUGCUUAAUAGAAAUAUGAAAACAUUACUAAACAAAAUUGCUUAAGCCCUUGCUUAACUUCUGAAAUUAACAUACCAUUCACGUGUUAAUAAAGAAGCUGCCCACUCGCCUAGAGCCAAGAAUUUUUUUGGACUGGGACUGCACUUCUCAGCACCAGGCAACAUCACAUCUCUCUGAAACGGUCUUAUGACCCCAGUCUAUGAAGAAAUUCCUAAGAAACAUUUGAUCAGAUAAGAAGAAUGUUUUCAAGCAAUAAUCAUGCAGAGGUUUCCCAGAUGGAUGAUUUUGUGCCAUGAAUAGAACACUGUGGGGCACUGCUUUUUACAAAUAUCUUUUAUCAUUUCUUUUUUUUUUUUUUUUUUCAUACAGUUGUCUUUUAUUUCCUUGCAUUGUUGGUGGUAGAAAUUGCUGUAGGCCUCACAGGAAGCAAACAGCCAACUUGGAGUUUCAUAAAACACAGCGCACAGGCUUAAGCCUGCCCAGACACACUGUUAAGUGCAGGGCUGAGUGCAGGGCAGCUAUAUUACUGACAUUCAAGAGCUCUUUUACAAGUAAGUCAAAACAUAACAUAAUCUGAUUUAGGAUAUACCAACAUCGCAAUAGUAUGUCUUCUUUGAGCUAACUCAGGUUUUGGGGGGACUACAAAAAAUGUUCAUAAAGUAGUCCUCUCAGUUAAUAUACCUGGUUUCUCCACUACCUGACAAUUAGCCUAGGCAGAAAGCAAUGUUAAUGAGUCUCUUCUACUCUCUGCAUUUGAACUUCUUCAAGCAUCAUGAAGUAGCACAGAACUGUUAUAACCAUGACCACAAACUGGUCUCUUGGAUGAAGUCUGACUCCCCUUUAAGUCAAUAAAAGUUUAGUAAUAAUAUCAAUGAAGAAUUUAACCAAGUAGGAAGAGAAGAUAGCAUUAUUAUCUUGUUUGGUCUUCUACACUUUCUCCUUAUCCAGUAAUAACUCCAGAGUGAAAACAGUGCAAAAAGAAUCAGACUUGUGUUUCACACAUGAUUUCCAGCAGCCUCAGCAAUACGAAUUGGAAACCACCCAUCUAUCUGAUCCACGAAGACCACUAACCAUACACUCAAUAACAUACUUCAAUUUUUUGCUGUCUUUUUGGAUUAUUUCAAUGGCACAGCUCAAGGCAGCUGAGCUCAGUGCCUAAGGAGUUGCAGCUGUUCAUCAUGGAUGUGUCGGGAAGAAGAGGGUUUGGAGCUUGUUUCCAGAGAUCCUACUGUGUAGAGGGCUGGCAAGGACUGUGGAAAAGUGAGGGUAUUGAAAGAAUUUCUGUAAAGCUGUUUCCCAUAGUUGUGGCUUUGGUCACAUGUGGUGAAUAGCUGAGGUGGAUUUUGGUUGGACAGCCUGGACACUUUCACAGCAACUAUCAGGCAGUCAGCAUUUUGGAGCUGGUGACCAAAUUGUUGAGGGCUUUGGUUUUCAGCCAUUUUCCUUCAUAUAUCUUAUAAGACCAGCCCUGUACAAUGCUUGUAAUGAAAUAGGUCAAUAUUUACAUUUGAUUUUUCCAGGUUACCAGCAUGUGAAGGGAGGUCAGCCUUUCAGUUCACACUUAAAGUUUUUUGGGAAGCACUAUUCAAAGACACAUACAUUAAGUACAAUAGUCUAUCAAAAGGUGGCUUCCCAAUUUAUUUAUCAUAACUGAAAGAUGACUUCCCGACUUAUUUAUCAUAAAAAAGACAGAGAAGGUUCUUUUCUGAUGCUAAAUAAGCAGAUGACAUUGCUUUAAUUGUAUCACUGUAAAUAAGGCCUGGCAUUUUUGCUGCUGGCCUUUUGAGAUCUCAAAACCAACAUUCUUUGCAAUACUAGGCAGUUACCAUGGUGCAGUGGACUUAUUUUUAGCCAACAGAUGUAGAAUUUAACUAGCCAGAGAAUGAUGUAGAUACAUCAUGACAGAAGAGUUGUCAUAUGAGAUUUGUACAUAAAUCUACUAGAUACUUGUUCAAGUAAAUAUAAAUUACUUAUAUUUGAUUGAAGUGUUGCUCUUGUCUUCUGUGGGUCCCUGAAGCACAUGAGUGAUGAACUUAAAAAUAAAUAAAUAAAUAAAUAACGUUACAUUAUAAGGAAUUUUCAUGUCUAGUGGUAAGUGCAGAAGAUACAUAUUGACAAUUGUAAUAUGGAUCAAAUGCUUCACAGAUUAUGGAAUCUUUUUCCAUAUGGCACCCGCACAGUACAGUUUUAUGGGUCUACUUCUCCAGCUGCAUCAGUUUAUAGGAGGUGUAUAUGCCUACAAUGCCUGUCUCUUGGUGCUGAACAUAUCUCACCUCCCACUACUGUGGCAAAAGUAAACGAAGCAAGAUUUAGAAGAUAGAAGAGGAUGAAUGAAUGCAGCAGCCUUUGUGUCAACCCAGAAGACAGAAAGGAAGUGAUAUGUUGCAAAAGGAACCUCACGGAAAUUCCUGACAGUUUUUCCAUUCUCCCACAGAUUUUACUAACAUUUUGAUAAUCCUUUGUGCUAUAAUGACAAAGACUGUAUGAAUGUACACAGAUGAUGUCUAACAAAUGUCUUUUCUCUCUCUUCCCAUGUGUGUGUAUAUAUAUACACACAUACAUAUAAAAUUACAACCAUCUCUUAAAUACAACUUUUAUUACAAGCCAUAUCCUAAGGAGCUUCACGAUCCAUAAAAUGUGACAACAAAGCAAAUAGGUACCAUGUGUUCAAUACAAUCAUGGAAGAGACAUUUACAGGCACUCAGAGGUCACAGUGAUAUACCUGCAUGGAUUCAGGUUAUACUGCUCAUGAAGAAACUCUAGGUCCAUUGGAAUAGUAUAUACAAGUUCAAUGCUUAUUUUUCAUAUAAGUUCCACAUAUGGCAUGACCCUAUUGUGAUUUAGGUAUGAUUUUGUCUAAUGCUUGUAUGACUGUGAGGUUGAAACCUGAUACUUUCUGGAUGACUGGGCAUGGAAAUUGGGGAACAUGUUAAUGAAGAACAUUCAUGAAGUAAAGCCCCAUGUUAGACAGGAAGGCAAUUUGUGAGGCUGGCCACAAGCAAACAAAUCUGGCUGGCACCUCACUUGUCUCUUGCACAAGGUCACUAUCUGUUCAGGGAUGGAUGUCUAUAACAUGCUCAUUGAACUACCUAGGAUGUCCUCCAAGACAAAAACCAUGAGAAGUACUGUAGGUACCAAACAUUCAUAUAAGCAUGCUAAAAUAAGAUUAACAAAAUAAAUAAAGGAGAAAAUUAAUAUGAAAAUCUCUUUCCUUCCACUAAGUAAAGAUUGAAAACAAAAGGGAAAGCAAAGCAUAAUGAAAUUUUAGAUUAUCUUAAAUAUACCAUGGCCUAUCAGUCCCCUGUGACAAUCAAUUUAUAUUCACUAAAAGCAAAUAUUAUAACCAAAUUAAUCAUGUGGAAUGUUAAAGAAGAUGCAACUCCUGUAAUGGUGCACUAUUAAUAUGCAGUAAAUGCUGGCCUUGGUAAACUGUUUCUGAAAUGGACAGAAUGUUUCUCACUGUUGCUGAAUGAAAGCACACAGUGGAUCCAGAAUCAAAACCUAAGAUGUCUGUAACUUCAAGAAGAUUGCUUCAAUAUUUUUCUUCUUUUUGUCCUAAUCAAUAAAACCUAAUGAACUUCAGACACUGAAUAAUUUCCUGAUGCUUUCCUAAUUUUAUCCCUUUGGUCACCAAUUCUCUGCACCUAAACGCAUGACUUCUGUGAACUGUCUAGCCUGGAAUGACAUUUUCAUUUCUAAGUAAGAUUUUCACACAAUCCAUCCUCUGAGAUGUCAUAUUGCCAAAAGUCUGAUUUGUUUAAAAAAAAACCAAACAACCAAGCAUAUGAUAAAUCACAGAACUCGUGACACCUGUGACUGCCGUGAAGAAAAUCCAUUUUGCCUUAAGACUCCCAAUGGCCACCUCCUAGUAGCCUGCUGAUAAUUCAGUUUCUAUCCACAACAUUCACAAAUUUAUAUUUUUAAUUCAAUGUCUAAUAAAGAAUUUUGCCUGAUACAUUCAAUAGUAUCCUUCAGUGCUAAUAUUUUAUUUUGAAAAAAGCUUUGUUCUUUUUUUAAAAAAUGGAAUCCACUAUUUUAAAUAUGCUAUGUCUACAGAACACAAUAGUUGUGGUGGUGACGUGAAUUUAAAUAAUCAGAUCUGACAUAAUCUGAUUUCAUGAUGGCUGUCUACCCAUAAUUUGCCCUAUCAAGAAUGAUGCACAUCUUUUUAGAUGUUGUGAUGUGAAAUAAACAAAACUACUGGAAUUUCCCAGUUGGCUGGAAAUUAGUCUUUAUGAAUAUAUCAACAAAAAUCUAAAACAACAACAAAGAAAAACCUCAACAGAACCAAAACCAAACCUGCAAACAGGAAAGCAAGCAAAACACCAAAUUCUGCCUAAACAAUUUUAACCUCUGUCAAAGGGUGUCCAUGGUAUAUUUUCAGGUCUCCCAUCUUAUAAAGAGCAAGCUAUUAUUAAUCACUACUGCUAAGCUAGUCAGGAAAUUCUUGCAGAAUUUUCUCAUAUCAUCGUGUGUUGAUAACUUAUUUUUGUCAAAGUUCUAUAUUCUAAAAGAAAGAUAUUGAGAGAAUAACAAACUGAAGCUGAAGCUAAAUCAUAUAUUUACUUCUAUGAACUAUAUGAAUUUAAAUCAAACAAAGAAGAAUAUGAGACCUGGAAAUAUUGUUUAUGCUUUAUAGCUGGACAAUGACAGCCCAAAGAGAAGGGAGUAAAAGAACUCAGAAUGGGAUAUUUAGUUGUGAGAAAACAGAAGUCAGCUUACACUGUCUGUGCAAGAUUACACAUCGAUGCAAGGUUGCACUGCACAUCAAAACCUGGGCUAAGCUCAGAACACAAACUACAGAUCUCCUGAUCCAACCUGGUGUGCUGUUCAGACAUCCAUUCUCCAUGAAGGUAUCUAAAUAUCAUUUUUGUCUAGUUGUGUUGCCUUAUAACAAAAAAUACUGUAAGCUUUCUUUGAGGAAUAUUAGUCCUUUGUUAUAGUGGCUGCAUGGAAGUGGUUAUAAAAUAUUUUGUCAUUAGCUUCAUCUGCCCAGAGUUCAAAUUUCAUUUCUAAAUUUUUUACUUUAAAUCCAAGAGAGAAAAGGAAAUUAUUUUGGCUUUAGGAAUAUUUAAUAUACUGGUAGAACUCUUACACUGUACACGUUUCAAAUAUAAUAAUUUUAAUGUAUGUUUAUUAAUUCUUAGAAAAUAUAUAUAUUUUCCAUUGAAAUGGAAAUUUCUCUCUGAAAUACGUAUUCUGGAAAAAAUAUUGUACAUUUUUUUUUUAAAUACUUUGUUUUAGAAAACAAAAUGAAGACUUUCAGAUGUUCAUUGUAGUUUUUCAGGAAAACGAUGGUAAUGCGUUGCUGAUUGGGGUUAUGAUUUCUUUAUAGAAGUACAAUUGGAAUGGAUGAAGGACAAAAUCUACACAAGGUUUUUGGAAGAAGUUUACAAAAUCAUUAACCAUACACUAGCAACUCACCAAUAACAAAUGAGUCCAAACCCGUAAAUGCAAUUUUUCUGUUGAAUUAUUUGACUAGUUAGAUUUAAUAAAUCUUUAAAUCAGACCUUCCUUCUGAGGUAUCUUUUAUUGUGUUCUUUCACAUUCAUGUAGCUUUAUUGAUUGUAUCUUCUUCACUGCCAUAUGUUAAAUUGCAAGCAAUAAAAUUGAAACAUUAAAUCACAUUUCUUUCCUUUCAUGUGUCACUUACCUAUUGCGAACAUAUGUUACACUGGCACAAUAAAACUUGCCCUGAAGGCCUACUCUGUGUACACAACAUUGUGAAAAUGGAGGCAUAUAAAAAUGUCCCUGUGUCCUAACUGAAGAUUAAGCUUCCAUAAAAUAAUAUUAUAAAUAUUUAAAACAUAAAAUAUGACUUGCAAUGAUGUAAUAGCAAAUUCUCUGGAGUCUGUGGCUGUAAAAGGAACACAGAAGGAUAUCUGCAGGAGGUCUUCCAGCAAAGUUUACCGCUUCACCUAGGAUGCAGGACACAAAUUUUUCCUGAAAGAGUUUAUCCCAGACACUCUUUCCAGCCAGUUGGAUUUUUGCCAG